rnacentral:rRNA from 1 species
CGUCUAUAUACGUAUAGCAUAUCAAUAAGCGGAGGAAAAGAAACUAACUAGGAUUCCCUCAGUAACGGCGAGUGAAGCGGGAAGAGCUCAAAUUUGAAAUCUUCAAGGUUCUACCUUGACGAAUUGUAGUUUAAAGAAGUGUUUUCUGUUGGAGUUUUGGUAAAAGUUCUUUGGAAUAGGACAUCAUAGAGGGUGAGAAUCCCGUAUUUGACCAUUAUUUCCAACUUUGUGAUACACUUUCAAAGAGUCGGAUUGUUUGGGAAUGCAGUCCAAAAUGGGUGGUAAAUUUCAUCUAAAGCUAAAUAUUGGCGAGAGACCGAUAGCGAACAAGUACCGUGAGGGAAAGAUGAAAAGAACUUUGAAAAGAGAGUUAAACAGUACGUGAAAUUGUCAAAAGGGAAGCGUUUGACACCAGUGUUGUUUUCUCGAAAAUCAAUUAAAAAUGGACCGGAUUUUGUGUUGUAUUGACUUUAUCAGCUUUCUGCACUUUUUUCCUUAUCUUUUUUAAUGCACUUUUCGUUUAACAAGUCAACAUCAAUUUCUUUUGUUGUAAAAGAGGUCAUUGGAAGGUGGCUCUCUUUUCGGAGAAAGUGUUUAUAGCCUUUGGACUUCUGCAAUCGGAGAGAUUGAGGUCUGCAGCGUAGAUCCUUCGGGGUUAGAUAGCAUUUGUGCUAAGCUUAUAGCCUUUCAUAGACAACUUGUUGACUAUGAUCAGUCAUGUAGCUUACUCGCUUAUGUCUAUUUUACCUACGCUUAGGAUGUUGACGAUCAGCUGAGCGCG